UUGGGCAGCAGCUAGCUCUCUGUAACUCUCACAUGGUCGUCCUCAGAAGCCAAGCAAGGCUGUGCUCAGUCAGUAUCUGGAUGGGAGACCACAUGGGAAAGCUAGGUUGCUAUCGAAA
ensembl:rRNA 5S_rRNA 5S ribosomal RNA